rnacentral:rRNA from 1 species
UACGAAGGGAGCGAGCGUUGUUCGGAUUUACUGGGCGUAAAGGGCGCGUAGGCGGCCUUGUCAGUCAGGCGUGAAAGCCCCGGGCUCAACCUGGGAACGGCGCUUGGGACGGCGAGGCUGGAGUUCGGGAGAGGAGAGUGGAAUUCCCAGUGUAGAGGUGAAAUUCGUAGAUAUUGGGAAGAACACCGGUGGCGAAGGCGGCUCUCUGGACCGACACUGACGCUGAGGCGCGAAAGCGUGGGGAGCAAACAGG